GGGGAAUCUUCCGCAAUGGACGAAAGUCUGACGGAGCAACGCCGCGUGAGUGAAGAAGGUCUUCGGAUUGUAAAGCUCUGUCGUUUAGGACGAACGUGGAUUGUGUAAAUAAUGCAAUCUAAUGACGGUACCAAAGGAGGAAGCCACGGCUAACUACGUGCCAGCAGCCGCGGUAAUACGUAGGUGGCAAGCGUUGUCCGGAAUUAUUGGGCGUAAAGGGCGUGUAGGUGGAUUCUUAAGUCUGAUGUGAAAGCCCACGGCUUAACCGUGGAGGGUCAUUGGAAACUGGGAGACUUGAGUGCAGAAGAGGAAAGUGGAAUUCCAAGUGUAGCGGUGAAAUGCGUAGAGAUUUGGAGGAACACCAGUGGCGAAGGCGACUUUCUGGUCUGCAACUGACGCUGAGGCGCGAAAGCAUGGGGAGCAAACA
rnacentral:rRNA from 1 species